AUGCUUUUUUCCCAAUUGCUACUUCUCACAGCUUCUAUUUGUUCUGGUGUACACAUACAGAGAGACUGAAAGCGAAAAAGGAGUGAUUGCUCUGCAUCUGAGUUUGAGUUUGUUUUGGUUUGGUUGGUGAAAUUUGAAGUUUAGUGAUCUUGUUGGAAAGCGGUCUGCAAGCAGAAGAGAAACAAUUAAUUCUUGGCAUUUUCAGCCAGAACAUAUCAAACUCCAGUCCUGGGGGAAGUUCAAGCAAAGGCACAGUUAGAUAAGGAAUAGGGGUUGAAUUUGGAGCUGCAGUCAUGCUUUGACAGGUAAAGACUUGAGCUAUUAUUUCAUGGGUAUGUAAUUGUUUUGCAUGAAAAAGAAACACAGAAGCUAUCAUUGUUGAAUGACGAGUGAUUGAUCUAUGUUGGUAGGGAGAUAUGUAUGAAUUGGAGGAAAGAUAUGAACACAAUUAGUAUUGCUAUCAAAGUUUGGCAUACAUGCUUAUAUAUAGAUGUGUUUCUUUGAUAUAGAUUUAUUCCUGGGACUGCAGAAGUAGGAUUGCUGCUGUACAUGAAAAAA